rnacentral:rRNA from 1 species
GAUGAACGCUAGCGGAGGCUUAAUACAUGCAAGUCGAGCGGCAAGUUUUGAUAGCAAUAUUGGAACCUAGAGCGGCGCACGGGUGAGUAACGCGUACAUGACCUGCCCUAUACUGGGGGAUAGUCUUGGGAAACUGAGAAUAAUCCCGCAUGUGAUUAGAAUGCUGCAUGGACAAAUUAAUUAAAGCUGAGGCGGUAUAGGAUGGGUGUGCGUCUGAUUAGCUAGUUGGUAGUGUAACGGACUACCAAGGCGAUGAUCAGUAGGGGGCGUGAGAGCGUGACCCCCCACACGGGUACUGAGACACGGACCCGACUCCUACGGGAGGCAGCAGUAAGGAAUAUUGGUCAAUGGAGGGAACUCUGAACCAGCCAUCCCGCGUGAAGGAUGAAGGGGCUCUGCCUUGUAAACUUCUUUUGCAUGGGACGAAAAAACUUAAUUUAUUAAGGACUGACGGUACCAUGAGAAUAAGCACCGGCUAACUCCGUG